UACGGAGGAUCCAAGCGUUAUCCGGAUUCAUUGGGUUUAAAGGGUGCGUAGGCGGGAUUGUAGGUCAGUGGUGAAAGCUAGCAGCUUAACUGUUAAAUUGCCAUUGAUACUGCAGUCCUAGAAUAUAGAUGACGUUGGCGGAAUAUGACAUGUAGCGGUGAAAUGCAUAGAUAUGUCAUAGAACACCGAUUGCGAAGGCAGCUGACGAAACUAUAAUUGACGCUGAUGCACGAAAGUGCGGGGAUCAAACAGG
rnacentral:rRNA from 1 species